rnacentral:tRNA from 1 species
GCCCACGUAGCUCAGGAGGUUAGAGCGCAUCCUUGGUAAGGAUGAGGUCGGCGGUUCGACUCCGCCCGUGGGCU